rnacentral:rRNA from 1 species
GACAGAGGCCCCAAGCGUUAGGCGGAAUCACUGGGCUUAAAGCGUGUGUAGGCGGACGCCUAAGUGUCUUGCGAAAUCCCACGGCUCACCCGUGGAACUGCUGGGCAUACUGGGCGUCUUGGGCCAACUAGGGGCAGCCGGAACAAGCGGUGGAGCGGUGAAAUGCGUAGAUAUCGCUUGGAACGCCGAAGGUGAAAACAGGCUGCUGGGGUUGCGCCGACGCUGAGACACGAAAGCCAGGGGAGCAAACGGG